rnacentral:tRNA from 1 species
GCGCCCGUAGCUCAGUGGAUAGAGCAUCUGACUUCGGAUCAGACGGUCGGGGGUUCGAAUCCCUCCGGGCGCGCCA